UGGAGAUGCAUUGCUUAGCAUAUUUUGAAGCCCUUGAUUGCUUGCUAAGUGAGCAAAAAUUUACUUGAUUUCAGCAGCUUGUUUCUCUAAAGCUGCUUGCGCGAUUUCUUUAAAAUUUUUGUUUCCCGUAAAA